rnacentral:lncRNA from 1 species
CAUGAUGCAUGGAUGAUGAGCUCAUAUAAGUUUGGAGAGCAUGGAUCAUAUGAUUAGUUGCAGUGGGGCUAAGCUAAAACAGGAUUAAUGAUGCUUACAAUACGUAUAUCACAGCCACACAUUUUGUGAUAUUGGUAUGUGUAGUAUAUGAUCUAUAUUUUUUUAAGCUCUCAAUCUAUGUUUUUGUUCUGAUCCUAUACGAAAGAGAGCAAAACCAUCUCAAAUCAGUACGAGCCAAAGAAAUCUAUUAAUUAAUCCAUGAUUUGAUGUACUAUUUAAAAGGGGAAAAAAUUAAGCUACAUGUAUGUAUCAUGCACGAAAAAUAUAUCUUCUAGAUGAGUAUGUAUACCAUAUAUUUGAUAUGCGUACAUAUGCAUUUGUUAAGUCUUACAAUGGGUUUCUUUGGAAACUCUUCAACAUAAAUGACCCGUUGGAAUAUUUCAAUGGAUUUUCUGUAUAUCACCAAAACAAAAUAAAUGUCCUCCUUUUAAGUGUUCAUCCCAUAUACAGGAGCCAGAACGCCUCUUUCUGCAGAAACAUAGAUACAUGGUCCCUUCUAAAUAUUCCUUGGAAUAUUUUAGUUUGAGUUUCCAGUUUUAUCGUCCAAUAGUGGCUAUCUUUUUUUUCAUCUGAAUCCAUGACAUAAAACGACCCGCUGUGAGAUGUUCAAAAUGUAUUACACAUUCUCUAAUUACACUUACAUUACCACAGAAAGUCAUUCGGUUUUUUGUUUUUUGUUAAUGCAUUGUGUGUUAACAGUUCAUUUUGGUUUUUUGUUUGUAGGUUCAAAAGAUAAAUGGAUGAUUAUAUGGGCACGUGGCAAAUAUACUGAUGAUGAUGAUGAUGAUGAUGAUGAUGCUGGAUGCUUUCAAUUUUAGUUCAGUUGUAGGAAUGAUGUUCCUCUGUUAAGUUUUAGUUAAGUUGUAGUGAUGUUGAGGGAUACUUUCGGUUUUUGUUUUGUUGUCAAGAAAAUAUAUAGAUUAUGCAUCACAUUUGGAUGAUGUUCCUCCUGUAAUAUCCAUUGUUGUAAUCCAACAAUU